rnacentral:lncRNA from 10 species
GGGGGCCGGGCUAGCGGGCUACUGGGCUGCGGAGACCAGAGCCCGGCUCCACUGAAGAAACCCGCCGGCUGCUGGGGCAGGGCGGCGAAAGGUCAGUCGGCCGAGAGGAGUCCGUGGAGCCACCGUUUCAUAGCCUCAGGGAAAGGAUCGGGCGUGCUCACGAGCCCUCUAACCCAUGGCUUAAACACCCGCUUCCUAAGCCUGGAUGGAAUGAUAGGGUAUGCAUAAAUGUUCAUGUGGGCUCUGGAGUAUACCAGGAACUGAAGUAAGGUACAUGGACGUCUUGAAUAUUGUAACUGAGAUGGGCAAGCCUACACCUUUGCAAAUAAAGGAGGAUUGGGAAAGAUUAAGGUACUUCCUAAGCGUGGCUACUCCAAUGAAGCUUUAGUAUAUGUACUGAAAGAAGAUCCUCUCAUACUGCCACAGCCAAGAGAUAAGGUUGUAAAUCUUUAUUGGGAGAAGCCGUCAAGGACAGUUCUGUGAAAUGAAAGGAUCUCUGGAUCACCACAAAGUCUGGCUCAGUGACUAUGGCUUUGCAAACACUAAACAUUCCUGUCUCAAGUCCUGUAGAUGGCUUGAAAUAGUAUACAUAAGCAUGCCUUAUAAACAUCUUCAGUCUUUAUCAACUCUUUGGAGAUUCAGCCAUUCUUUUUUGUACUUUAGGGAAUUAAAUCAUUUUAUAAUGUAUAAAUCUGAGCAUGGCCGAUGGCAGAAGAAAUUUUGUCAUACGUUUUUAAAGAAAUAAAAAUGUAUUAUGUUUUAAAA